GCAGUCGCUCAUCGAUCCUCCUGGUGUGAGUGGCGAGGGCAACGGAGCUUCUCGGGGCACCGCCGAAGGCAGGCAAUGAUGGCAGACGAUAGCAAGUGUGGCCAGAUUGGCAAUGAGGGAGCGGCGGCGCAGAAGCCGAAUGUCGUUUUGAAAGCAGUUGACAUGGAUGACGAGAUGCGCAGCCACGCGGUGCCUGUGCCCGCGCUGCGUUCCAGGAGCAUGCAGUGGAGAAGAACAUCGCGGAGCACAUCAAGAAGGAGUUCGAUGCUAGAUAUGGACAGAGUUGGCACUGCAUUGUAGGUCGUAACUUUGGAUCAUUUGUAACACAUGAGUCAAAGCAUUUCAUCUAUCUCUAUGUGGAUUCCAAGGCAGUCCUACUGUUCAAGUCAGGUUGAGAAGUUCUUGGCAGUUUAGCUGUCAUUUCAUGCAUUUCUACAUCACCUUAAAUUGCUGCAGCUGAACUUCUUGUUGUUUCGAUCACUUGCACCAUCUGUGGUUUAUAUGACAUGCAAGAAAAAUUAUGUGACAAUGGGAUGAAAUUGUGCUUGAGAAGUCACGAAAUCCAUUUUCUUAAUAAUCUCAUUUUGAUGUUUAGAACAAUAUAUAAUUAUGUUUAGAAGGGUUCUAAAUGGAAUAAUGAUGAGAUUAAAAUAAUAAUUAGAAUAUGUGAGGUCUGACCGUUGUUAUUUAUCUCAAAUUCAACGAGCAUGAAAAGCGGGGUAGAAUAGCAAUUAGAAAGAAAAAAAAUCUUUAGUUAAUUGUCACGUCAUUAUUUUUUUUUUGAAAUUAUGAAUAAGUCAAUCAUUUUAAACCUUUCUUUAUUUUAGCAGAUUAAGUUUUAAAAAGUUGAUUCUUUACCCCUGUUUUUUUUCCCUUUUCUUUUCUUUUUGAUAUUUAUUAGCUUCCAUUUCAGAGGUUGAGAAGAUCUAACUUGCAAACAGAGAACUUUCACUUGAGCGAAAAUUAACACUGCAUUUAAAUUAUUUUACAAACAAACACCCUCAAUCAUACUGCUUCAUCAGACCCUGAAGAUUUGGGUUCGACCGUCGACCGGCAGAUGGGGCAGGUGGAGUGCGACUGAAACCAAAUGUCCACGCAGUCGACGUGGAAGCGGUGGCCGCACCUCGGAAGCAGCCUCCCCUUGUCCCCGUCCCUGAACUCCAACAAGCACACCACGCACUCCAACUUCUCGCCCCCGGCGGCCGUAGUACCGGCGUAGUCGAAGACCGGCAGCGCGGAGAGCGCCUCGGGGUGGAGGCUGGCCUCGAUGCUCGUGGAGGCGUUGGGAGAGCUGGCUGCCGAAGACGACUGGACCGUCGCGACGGUGGUCGACUCGUUCAUCUGGUCAGACCGGCUAAAGAAGAGCCGCCAAAGGUAGUAGUAGACGAGGAGAACGAGGCCGACGUUGAGAACUGCGAAGAGAGGGUAGAGGAGGCGGCCGUGUCCGAUGUGGCUGAACCAGCUGGGCGGCGAUGUGGUCGGAGCCGAUCCAUUUGGGGCCGCUUGGCUCAUGAGCUCUGAUCAAUGAGGAGAAAUCAAGGUACGAGGAGAAGAACAAGAAGUCUAUUUGUAUAUCACAAUUCUUUACGUUUCAGAAGGCCAAUCUUGAUCUCCUUUAUCAAGUGGACAAUGAAAAUAUAUAAUG